GAUGAACGCUAGCGGCAGGCCUAACACAUGCAAGUCGAGGGGUAGGGUUAGCUUGCUAACUUGAGACCGGCGCACGGGUGCGUAACGCGUAUACAAUCUACCUUGUACAGAGGGAUAGCCCAGAGAAAUUUGGAUUAAUACCUCAUAGUAUCUUUACCUGGCAUCGGGUAAUUAUUAAAGUUCCAACGGUACAAGAUGUGCAUGCGUCCCAUUAGUUAGUUGGUAAGGUAACGGCUUACCAAGACAAUGAUGGGUAGGGGUCCUGAGAGGGAGAUCCCCCCACACUGGUACUGAGACACGGACCAGACUCCUACGGGAGGCAGCAGUGAGGAAUAUUGGUCAAUGGACGCAAGUCUGAACCAGCCAUGCCGCGUGCAGGAAGACGGUCCUAUGGAUUGUAAACUGCUUUUUAUACAGGAAGAAACAACUCUACGUGUAGAGUCUUGACGGUACUGUAGGAAUAAGGAUCGGCUAACUCCGUGCCAGCAGCCGCGGU
rnacentral:rRNA from 1 species